rnacentral:tRNA from 1 species
GGGAGUGUCGGUUAAGGGCAAACCAACGGUCUCCAAAACCGUGACUGGGGGUUCGAAUCCCUCCACUCCCG